rnacentral:misc_RNA from 1 species
AUGAAUAAAUUUGGUCGAGCUGUUGCUGGCCCUUCGGGGCAUGUGCACGCUUGCCACCAAUUUUAUAACCACCUGUGCACCUUUGUAGGCUAGAAACAAUUCUCGAGGCAACUCGGAUUGAGAACUGCGGUGUUCAAAGCCAGCUGUUCUUGUGUUUCUCAGUCUAUGUUUUCAUAUACUCCAUUGUAUGUAUCAGAAUGUAUUGUUAGGCCUUUAGUGCCUUUAAAUCAAAUA